UGCGCGGCUGGCGCGAGCUGCAAGCCGAGGUGCGGGCCUUGCACGACGCCUGGCAGCACGUGCAGGCCGCGGCGCUGGCGCAGCGCGAGCAGGUGGAAGUAGUGGCUGCCAACGUAGACACAAGCGCCGACAAUGUGCAAGCGGCGCGGGAAGACCUGGCUCUUAGCGAGAAGUAAGCUCUGUGUUUGUAGAUAACGCACUACUAAGCGCA
rnacentral:misc_RNA from 1 species